rnacentral:lncRNA from 1 species
AUUAUUCUUUUUGAUGCACUGAUGUACGAACAGCAGCUUCAAUAAUCGAAGAGCUAUUAAGAUAACUCGAUCGAGCCGGUGGCGGACCGAUCCUAACCGCCUCAUCAGCGGAUUUCACAUGCAAACUAUGCCUAUCAGCAUCACUAUAAACCGCAACCGUCUGUAUACCUAACCUCUUCGCUGUUCUCAUAAUCCUACACGCGAUUUCUCCUCUGUUCGCUAUUAGAAGCUUCUCGAUCUUCCGAUUACUGUUCUCAGUGUUGGUUAGGUUCGUUGAUGAAGAUGAUAGUCUGAAUGGCGUGUAAAUGAAUUGUUUGUUGAAGUUCCGGUGAAGUUUUCGGUUAAGUUUCCGGUGAAUCAUUGUUGUUAUU